UAAAACGGAGGAUCCAAGCGUUAUCCGGAAUCAUUGGGUUUAAAGGGUCCGUAGGUGGAUUAAUAAGUCAGAGGUGAAAUCCUGCAGCUCAACUGUAGAACUGCCUUUGAAACUGUUAAUCUUGAGUCAUUAUGAAGUGGUUAGAAUGUGUAGUGUAGCGGUGAAAUGCAUAGAUAUUACACAGAAUACCGAUUGCGAAGGCAGAUCACUAAUAAUGUACUGACACUGAGGGACGAAAGCGUGGGGAGCGAACAGGAUUAGAUACCCUGGUAGUCCACGCCGUAAACGAUGGUCACUAGCUGUUCGGACUUCGGUCUGAGUGGCUAAGCGAAAGUGAUAAGUGACCCACCUGGGGAGUACGUUCGCAAGAAUG
rnacentral:rRNA from 1 species